AGCCAGAAGUGAACCUGUUCAACCCUAAGAAAGGAAACAGUUCAACCACACUCCUUAAAAGAGAAAUCCUGUGCAUGAGAACAAAGAUCUACAGGAAGGGCUGUUCUUUCAGGUUCCCAUCAUGGAAGUGAGCUAGGAAAAACAGGAGCACAGUUCAUCUGAACCACCUUUGACAACAACUUGACAACAGCAGGUAUCUUACCUGCUAAAAGAAGAGAUAAGAGAACUCCUCUCUGUUUAAUACAGUGAUCUCUAGAUUUACAGGGGGAAGUUCUGUUUUUGCCUUUGUGUGAGUUGGGGUCCAGCUGUCUGGAAAGCAGCUCUGCAGAGAAGGACACCAGGAUUCUGGUGGCAGCAAGCUGAAGGAGAAUGAAGAAGAAUCAGAAUGAAAAGACAAAGGACAAUGAUAAAAAGUUGCAUCAUGAGUCCUUACAAGGGGACUUAAGGAAAAAGUUCCUCACAAUGAGAAUGGUGAGGCUGUCAAGAAAGUCUGUGGGCUUUCAACAAAGCUUUCAAAAUUUGACUGGACUAUGCUCUAUUGAAUCUGGUCUAGCUUCUGAGUAAGUCUUGAUUUGGGCAGAUGUUUGGAGAUGAUAACCUACAGAUCUCCCAUACAACAAAGAUUAUUUUAUGAUUCAUGGGUCUAUGAAUGCUGGUUCCCUAGGAAGAUGAAUCUGAAUUGUACUUUCAAGAUUCCCACAACAGGAAAAACGAAAUAAAAUUAGAGUAAUGUUUUCACAUUAAGACAGACUAGGACAGGACAGGUUGAUUCCAGCUCUUUGAGUAAGCCACUUAAAUGAUUGUAACCUUGGGUAAACAGUAGAGCAUCACUGAGCUUCAGUUCUCCUCCAGUAAAAUAGAAUGAAUAAUAUUUCUUCAAAAUUUUUUCUAAGAGUGAUUCACCCUUAUGCAUCAAAGGUUCUUUAAGAGACUGAGCCAAAUGAGUUACUGAUCAGAGAUGCUAUGGUACCACAACCAUUGUGCAUCUGGUCAAUGUACAUGUUACUUCAUGAGCAUAACCAUCAAAUACAUGGGGGAAAAAAAGAGCAAAUAAAUUAUUUCAGAGUCCUUCUUCCUGGAUAUAUAAA